GGGCCCGCACAAGCGGAGGAACAUGUGGUUUAAUUCGAUGAUACGCGAGGAACCUUACCCGGGCUUGAAAUGUACUCGACCGAAGGGGAAACCCUUUUUCUAGCAAUAGCGAGUAUGUAGGUGCUGCAUGGUUGUCGUCAGCUCGUGCCGUGAGGUGUCGGCUUAAGUGCCAUAACGAGCGCAACCCUCAUUGUUAGUUACUAACAGGUCAAGCUGAGGACUCUGACAAGACUGCCAGCGUAAGCUGUGAGGAAGGUGGGGAUGACGUCAAAUCAGCACGGCCCUUACGUCCGGGGCGACACACGUGUUACAAUGGGAGGCACAACGGGCAGCUACCGAGUGAUCGGAUGCCAAUCUCUUAAAACCUCUCCCAGUUCGGAUCGGAGUCUGCAACUCGACUCCGUGAAGCUGGAUUCGCUAGUAAUCGCGCAUCAGCCAUGGCG
rnacentral:rRNA from 1 species